rnacentral:lncRNA from 1 species
GGGAUGGAUGGAAAUCCAAAAGGCAGGAAAGAGAAAACCUAGGGGAGGCUGCCUGGGAGCAGCCCGCCUGCCUAUAUCUUUUGUGCAGCAGCUUCAGGGGAGCUGUGGCCAAGGUCUGUGAGGAUGGAGCCAGAACUAUGAAGCCAGGCAGUCCUGGGUUACCCCCAUACUCUCUGUGUCACUUUUCCUCAUCAGUGCAAUGGCUAGCUUAUUGCUAUUGAUGUUUCUGUCUGAAUUUUGCUUCUGGACCGCUUUGCAGGGCCAGGAAGUCUCCCCCUAGCGGUCUCUCUUAAUAGGACAGAGCCUUGAGGAUGCUGCCUGGAACCCAGCCUUCCAGACCCCUGCUUUCCAGACAGCUAAGCAGAACCAGCCUCUGUGUUUUCUCACCUCUUUACCCUGCUUCUGUGAUUUGACCUUGCCUGGCCCUGAGCAGAGAAAGGGGACAGGAAGAGGGCGAGUUAUCUACCCCUUCCCGAGCGCUUGCAUACUGUGAUGGGUGGCUGACCUUCGAGUCUCACCCGAGAUGAGACAUUCACCACCCUGCAAGGUGGGUCAAUUACUUCUGCAUCGCUGCUGGGAAGGCUGAGACACGGAGGUACAGCCACUGGCCCAAGGACAUUCAGCUGGCUGGGGGCUCAGCUGAGUGCCACAUCUGAAGAUCCUGACUUUUAGAUACAAACUGGAGACGUUGCUUUCGCUUCCUUUCCAGCCUUGAUUUGGAUCCUCAGCUCUGUCCAUGCCCCAGGCAUCUUGGGGCUGCUGCUGACCUUCCAUUCAGGAGCACAGUGAGUUCAAUCCUACUGCCCCCAAAGCACUUAGUCUGGUUCCAGCAUCUGAUGCAGAGAUGCAAAUGGUCCCAUCCACCACUCCUGUACAUAGGGAUGCACACUAUGAGGUUAGGAUGCCCCAAGCUAUGCUGCUGGCUCAUGGAAGGUUCGAGAGGAGCUCUGAGAUAGAACCAUGACCUCAGCCUGCAGAGGUGGGGAAGGAGGGUGGGGGAGCUGCGUAGAAAAUGUGACUCAUUCAUCCCUGAAGGCCUCAGCAGGGAUGAGAAUCCCUACUUCAGAAGAAUUCGCACCUGCUCCCUCCAGCCAACCCCAUGUUAGGCCCUGAGAGACGGGCCCCUGAAGCAAUGCCAGUGAAUUUAGUUUUGAAGGCUGUAAGUCUCCUGUUGGCAUCAGCCACAAUUGAUUGUCAAGUCCACUGAGCAUUCUUGAUCUGAGCCCUAGGCUCAUGGUUCUUAAACUUUGUGGGCAUUCCAUCCCAACACAGGACACAGGAUCCAGAACACAGGAGCCCAGGCUUGCUGAAGCAGGACCGGGCCUGACCUCUGAUUUUUACCAGGUCCCCCAGGUAAUUCUGGUAAGGCCAGAGUUGGAGAGCCACUGACUUGGUGCCUUGCUACUCAAGGUGUGGUCCAUGGACCAGCAGCAUCAGCCACCUGGGAGCUUUGCAGACUCUGGACUUUGCAGAGUCUAGUCCCAUCUCAGACUUACUAAAUCAGUUUGAGAAGAUGCCUAGGAGAUCUGUGUGCACAUAAAGGAAAUUUUGAGAAGCCUGACAUAGCCGAUAGAUGAGUAAAUGCUUAGUGGAUUAUCAAGUAUUAAGCUCUGCUUGCUAGAAAUGAGUGUGUACUCUCAUUUCACCCUCAUGAACACCCUGCAAGGGAGGUGCCUUCUCCCCAGUUUACAGAAAAUUACACUGAGGCUCAGAGAGGUGGGUGACUUCUGAAGCCACACGUUCAUAGGUGAGGGAGUUGGGGUUGGAACCCCGGGCUCAUCCUCACGGCGGCCCUGUCCUCCUCACACGGGGAUAUGAACAGCAAUGACUUCAGAUGCGAACAGUUUAAAUAACUUUGAUUCAACUUACCACGGCAGGACAUGGACCAGAAAUUUACACAGAUGUUGAUCCACCAGGAUUGAAACAAGAGAAGGUUUCUAGCCAAUGCUAAUGUCCAACUCAGCAAGACCCAACCCCCACCCCCGCACUAUUUCCCAGUGCCUCAAACUUUCCACUGAGAGUCCCUGUAAAGGAUUAGUAGCAGGCUUACCGUGUUCAUCCAGCAGGAUAUUGUCUGGCUUGAUGUCUCUGUAAAAGAAAACAAAGAAGCUGGCAAUGUGGUUCCUGAGCCCACAGAUGAGCACAUAGACAAGCACCACAUCAGGACAAAUGCUGGAACACCCAGGCUGCUCACCUCUCCCUGACCUGAAGCCUCAGACAUGGAGUGGGAGAAUAAUUGCACAGAGUGGAAUCUCAAGCAUUUACGGGGGUGUCCCCUUUGCGGUCAUGAAGGACACGUCGUGAACAAGACAGACCCAACUGAAUGGAGCUUGCAUUCUAGGAAGAGAGGCACACCAGAAGGCACAUGAAUCAAUGGCAGGAUUAUGAGGAAGUAGGAGGAUGAGAGAAUAAAUGAUCUCACCUGUGACGUGGUCCUAGCCAUGGAAGCUGACAAAGACUGGAGUGAGAGCUCAAGACAUGAGCUGCUGUGUGGAGCCAGCCACACGGUGGGGAAUGUAGCUGUCCCUGGGAGGAAGAGUGACCGCUGGCCUAUAUGUAGCAAGAAAACGGGACCCCAGUCCUGCAGCCAUAAGAGCUGAAAUCUGCCAACAACCACAAGAGCCUGGGAGAGAACCCCACCCCAUGUUCCAGAAAGGAGUGCAGCCCGGUGGGCAUGUGGAUUGUAGUUUUGUGAGAUCCUAUGCAGAUGAUCCAGUUAAGCCCACCUGGACUCCUGGGCCACGGAAAUGGAGGGAAAAUAAAUUAGGUGCUGAGUUCCAUCGAAUCAGGGCCCAUUCCUAGAUUUGCAGCCCUGGCACAGCAUCCAGCAUCCAGCAGGUGUUCAACAGACACUGGUGGCAUUAUCCCGUCUGUAAAUUUGUCAUGAGGCAACCAGAGAGGCCCAGGCUUCCGUACAAGGCCAAUCAGCGUCAGGUCCUGGCUUGGGGCUCAGGCCCUGGUCCAGGCUGGGAUCCUCGAGCGCUUCCUGCUGACAGUUAAUCAUAGUUAAUUGUGACCCCCAGCUUUCCCAGGGGCCACCGCCCAGCUCUCGUCUGAUGUCAUUCACGUUCAGCAGUGUGCAUCUUGCCACGAUCACGUGGUCUCUCAUUUUCCUCCUGGAUCCAGCCUUCCCAGCGGGCUCCAAGUGGCUGGGCCUGUGAGAUGCUGCGACUCUUCGAGAGCUUCCUAUUUCUGUGAAGACGCUCAGGCCACGGCCUCAUGUUCCUCAUCCAGCUUUCUGAGGACAAUGCGGGAAAGAUCUCAAGUUCGUAUCAAGGCUGAAUCCGACUCUAUCCACGUGACUUCUAUUGGAAUCCGAGAGUUGGACCCAAUGGAGGGUCCAGCCACCACCCGGAACGACCUGGUCAUUUUCCAGAUGAGGGGACCUACGUUUAGAUGAAUGAAGACAAUGAGGCUGAGAGAUGUUCAGUUACUAGGUCAAAUUACAAAUAUGUGCACUUCAAACUGGGCUCAGGUCUGGAUCAAUCUUUCUCCAUGGCCAGUGCUCUUGGACCAUCAAGAAUUACCUUUUCCUGCUUCUACCAUGGUUCCCACUCCCCCUCCCUCUGGCCCACCAUUUCCACCCUGCACUAUGCAUGGGCUCUGGACUCACACCAGCCGGGAGCUCUUUCCAGCAUUCAACAUAUACUUACUGAGACCUGCCUUCUGGAGCUUACCCAGGAGCUAAGAAAACAAGAGACAGUCAAAGAUAAAACUGCAUAAUAUGAUACGCUGAGGGAAAUAGAGGGGGAGAGUGAGGGUGCUGUGUGAGAGACAGACGGCUGGGAAGAGUCCAGGGAGUACAAAGGCCAGGAACUGUGGGCCAAGAGCUGUGGGUGGGGCCUGUGGGUGGAGCUCUGCAUGGGAAAUCUGG